rnacentral:lncRNA from 1 species
GCCCCUAGCGCAGACGGCGGAGAGCAGAGAGGGAGCGCGCCUUGGCUCGCUGGCCUUGGCGGCGGCUCCUCAGGAGAGCUGGGGCGCCCACGAGAGGAUCCCUCACCCGGGUCUCUCCUCAGGGAUGACAUCAUCCGUCCACCUCCUUGUCUUCAAGGACCACCUCCUCUCCAUGCUGAGCUGCUGCCAAGGGGCCUGCUGCCCAUCUACACCUCACGAGGGCACUAGGAGCACGGUUUCCUGGAUCCCACCAACAUACAAAGCAGCCACUCACUGACCCCCAGGACCAGGAUGGCAAAGGAUGAAGAGGACCGGAACUGACCAGCCAGCUGUCCCUCUUACCUAAAGACUUAAACCAAUGCCCUAGUGAGGGGGCAUUGGGCAUUAAGCCCUGACCUUUGCUAUGCUCAUACUUUGACUCUAUGAGUACUUUCCUAUAAGUCUUUGCUUGUGUUCACCUGCUAGCAAACUGGAGUGUUUCCCUCCCCAAGGGGGUGUCAGUCUUUGUCGACUGACUCUGUCAUCACCCUUAUGAUGUCCUGAAUGGAAGGAUCCCUUUGGGAAAUUCUCAGGAGGGGGACCUGGGCCAAGGGCUUGGCCAGCAUCCUGCUGGCAACUCCAAGGCCCUGGGUGGGCUUCUGGAAUGAGCAUGCUACUGAAUCACCAAAGGCACGCCCGACCUCUCUGAAGAUCUUCCUAUCCUUUUCUGGGGGAAUGGGGUCGAUGAGAGCAACCUCCUAGGGUUGUUGUGAGAAUUAAAUGAGAUAAAAGAGGCCUCAGGCAGGAUCUGGCAUAGAGGAGGUGAUCAGCAAAUGUUUGUUGAAAAGGUUUGACAGGUCAGUCCCUUCCCACCCCUCUUGCUUGUCUUACUUGUCUUAUUUAUUCUCCAACAGCACUCCAGGCAGCCCUUGUCCACGGGCUCUCCUUGCAUCAGCCAAGCUUCUUGAAAGGCCUGUCUACACUUGCUGUCUUCCUUCCUCACCUCCAAUUUCCUCUUCAACCCACUGCUUCCUGACUCGCUCUACUCCGUGGAAGCACGCUCACAAAGGCACGUGGGCCGUGGCCCGGCUGGGUCGGCUGAAGAACUGCGGAUGGAAGCUGCGGAAGAGGCCCUGAUGGGGCCCACCAUCCCGGACCCAAGUCUUCUUCCUGGCGGGCCUCUCGUCUCCUUCCUGGUUUGGGCGGAAGCCAUCACCUGGAUGCCUACGUGGGAAGGGACCUCGAAUGUGGGACCCCAGCCCCUCUCCAGCUCGAAAUCGGCAGACUAGGAUGGAAGUGCCCUGUGAGCUGGGGGGCCCUUCAAAGGGCCAAGGAGAAAACGCAGGCCGAGGGACCAGCCUUCCAAAUGGGCUUCAAGCUCCAAUGACCUCCGCUCGCCCCCUCGAAAUGUCUGGAAAACAUAAUGGGCAGAUUUUCUGUCUUCAAAGUUUCCGGCUAAACCUCUUCAAGUUCUUUAUUGUUUGGGACUGAGACACUCAGCCAUGUUAAUGGCCAUAGGUCACCUGAAAGCCUACCUCACAGGGCUGUUGUGAGGGCCGAGGCCUCCACAGCCACGGGGACACCCUGCACCUAUUCCCACGGGACAGGCUGGACCCAGAGACUCUGGACCCGGGGCCUCCCCUUGAGUAGAGACCCGCCCUCUGACUGAUGGACGCCGCUGACCUGGGGUCAGACCCGUGGGCUGGACCCCUGCCCACCCCGCAGGAACCCUGAGGCCUAGGGGAGCUGUUGAGCCUUCAGUGUCUGCAUGUGGGAAGUGGGCUCCUUCACCUACCUCACAGGGCUGUUGUGAGGGGCGCUGUGAUGCGGUUCCAAAGCACAGGGCUUGGCGCACCCCACUGUGCUCUCAAUAAAUGUGUUUCCUGUCUUAACAAAA